GUUUACAUACAUUUAUUGGUCUAUUACAUAAAUCUAAUAGUCGUUGUAUAAGUAUCACAUGUUAUUGCCUACACAAUUUAAAUUGCAAAUUUUGAAUUCCAAAGUUUGUCUAAAAUUCACGUUUCAAUCGUUUUAAGAUGUUGCUCACAUAAAUACUGUCUAAGGCGACAUAUUCGUUGUAACAUCGUAAUCAAAAUUAUUUAAGCAACGGUGGAAAAUUAGGAAAAAGAAAGGUUUACAAUUUUUUACACAAAUAAUAAACUCCAAUCUCGAUAAACACUAUGGCCGCGACUAAUUUUAAAACACUCAGCGACGAUGAUGUCAAUCAAUUUUUCAAUUCUUUUGAUACUGUACUUACCGAUUGUGAUGGUGUACUUUGGAUGGACAUGAGUCCUUUAAAGAAUGCUGCAGAAGUAAUGAGCUCCUUCUUUUCUCUUGGUAAAAAGAUUUUCUAUGUGACUAAUAACAGUACAAAGUCUAGAGAACAAUUUGUAGAGAAAUGUAAACGUUUAAAAUUCAAAGCAACCAAGGAAAAUAUUUUGUGCACAUCAAAUUUGGCUGCCUGUUAUUUGAAAGACUUGGGCUUCAAUAGGAAAGUUUAUCUCAUAGGAUCCCAAGCUAUUGGAAAAGAAUUGGAAGAUGUUGGUAUUUCUUACACUGGUGUAGGACCAGAUCCUGUCAUUCCUAAUGUUCCAUACAACAGAUUUGAAAGAGACCCAGAUGUAGGCGCAGUUAUAGUUGGUUUUGACGAGCAUUUUAGUUAUCCCAAGAUGGUAAAGGCAGCUUCAUAUUUAAAUGAUCCAAAUAUACUCUUUAUUGGAACAAAUACAGAUGAAAGAUUUCCUCAUGCUGAUAAUGUUGUUGUACCUGGUACUGGAAGUUUGGUGCGGUGUAUAGAAACUUGUGCAGAAAGAAAAUCUGUAGUAGUUGGUAAACCAGAACGUUAUAUAGGAGAUUUACUUAUAAAACGGUUUAAAAUAAAUCCUGAACGUACAUUAAUGAUUGGGGAUCGGCAUAAUUCAGAUAUAUUAUUAGGAACGCGUUGUGGUUUUAAAACAUUAUUAGUCUUAACAGGAGUUACCAGUUUACAAGAUGUCAAUAGGUGGAAACAAUCAAAGUGUUCAGAGGAAAAGGCCUUCGUGCCUGAUUAUUACAUCGACGCAAUUGGAGAUCUUUUACCGCAUUUAGACAAAUUUAAGAGCAAAUUUGUAAGACUUUCUACAUAAAAUAGAAUUUUCUACGAAAACGCACGUAAUUUUAUAACGUCGAUUAAAGUACAAAUCUAAAUAUAUAUAUAUACUUAUUAUUUUCCGUACCGAAAACAUUACAUAUUAAUUUAUUACACGACAGUGCAUACGAUAGUAUAUACAAUAACUUUAGUUUGAAAAUAUGCGAAUAGUCUCACCCUUUAAAUUAUUUAGAUGCACAGAUAGUAAUAGUUAUUUAACCUUCUUUCCAGUAUAUACAAAAAUUUCUAUUUUUUUCUAAAAACUAUAUGAAGAGGUGUAUUUUAUACGCGAUGAGUUUUUAUUCUUAUAAUGAAACGAUGUCUUUUUUGUUAUAUUAUUCGAUUUACGUCAAAUGUACAUAUGUACUUUAACAGUACUCAAUAAACAAUUGGAAGAUUAUUAUUAUCACAAUUGACAAGAAAAAUCGUUUAGUCCCUCCCUAUCAUCGUCCACAUUAGUGCAAUUAUCAUCAAUCGUAUUUAUUGAUAGUUGUGAAUGAAAGCUACAAUUUAUACCCUCGUAUUGCGUAACUGACAACCAAGGUCACCUAACAAAUAUGAACGUGGCUGCCAGCCAAGAACUUACUUUGUAUUAAACUGUUUAAGAUCUCAGUUGCAGGAUAGAGUGUAUUUUGUGUGCAUAUUAGAAGUUAGUUUCAUUUUGAUUUAAAUAAUCGUGUCUGUAAGUAAUCAUAAAAUGACAGGAAAACGUAUAACAUCAUUGUCCAAAGAAGAAUUCAAACAUUUCAUAGACUCAAUUGAUGUCAUUUUAUCAGAUUGCGACGUAAACCUUAGGCGUGCUCUGGAAAGAAACAGAAGUGAUACCAAAGUCACCUGAAACAGUAAAUAAAUUUAAAGAACUGGGUAAAAAGUUCUUUUAUAUCACGAAUAAUAACACAAAGACUAGAUCAGAGUUUGUAGAAAA